CCUACGGGUGGCUGCAGUGGGGGAUAUUGCACAAUGGGGUGAACCCUGAUGCAGCGACGCCGCGUGGGUGAAGAAUCGCCUCUGCGCUUUAAGCCCUGUCAGCAGGGGAGAAAAUCACGGUACCUGUAGAAGGAGCCCCGGCUAACCACGUGCCAGCAGCCGCUGUAAUACGUAGGGGGCAAGCGUUAUCCGGAUUUACUGGGUGUUAAGGGGGCUCAGACGGGGAUGCAAGCCAGGUGGGAAAGCCCGGGGCCCAACCCCGGCACUGCUCUUGUAACUGCGUGGCUGGAGUGCAGGAGGGGCAGGCGGAAUGCGUGGUGUAGCGGUGAAAUGCGUAGAUAUCAGGCGGAACACCGGUGGCGAAGGCGGCAUGCUGGACUGCAACUGACGUUGAGGCCCGAAAGCGUGGGGAUCGAACAGGAUUAGAUACCCGGGUAGUC
rnacentral:rRNA from 1 species